AUUGAACGCUGGCGGCAGGCUUAACACAUGCAAGUCGAGCGGGGGGAGGUAGCUUGCUACCGGACCUAGCGGCGGACGGGUGAGUAAUGCUUAGGAAUCUGCCUAUUAGUGGGGGACAACAUCUCGAAAGGGAUGCUAAUACCGCAUACGUCCUACGGGAGAAAGCAGGGGAUCUUCGGACCUUGCGCUAAUAGAUGAGCCUAAGUCGGAUUAGCUAGUUGGUGGGGUAAAGGCCUACCAAGGCGACGAUCUGUAGCGGGUCUGAGAGGAUGACCCGCCACACUGGGACUGAGACACGGCCCAGACUCCUACGGGAGGCAGCAGUGGGGAAUAUUGGACAAUGGGGGGAACCCUGAUCCAGCCAUGCCGCGUGUGUGAAGAAGGCCUUAUGGUUGUAAAGCACUUCAAGCGAGGAGGAGGCUACUUUAGUUAAUACCUAGAGAUAGUGGACGUUACUCGCAGAAUAAGCACCGGCUAACUCUGUGCCAGCCGCCGCAGUAA
rnacentral:rRNA from 1 species